ACGAACGCUGGCGGCGUGCUUAACCCAUGCCAGUCGAACGGAAAGGCCCUGCUUUUGUGGGGUGCUCGAGUGGCGAACGGGUGAGUGACACGUGAGUAACCUGCCCUUGACUUUGGGAUAACUUCAGGAAACUGGGGCUAAUACCGGAUAGGAGCUCCUGCUGCAUGGUGGGGGUUGGAAAGUUUCGGCGGUUGGGGAUGGACUCGCGGCUUAUCAGCUUGUUGGUGGGGUAGUGGCUUACCAAGGCUUUGACGGGUAGCCGGCCUGAGAGGGUGACCGGCCACAUUGGGACUGAGAUACGGCCCAGACUCCUACGGGAGGCAGCAGUGGGGAAUAUUGCACAAUGGGCGGAAGCCUGAUGCAGCAACGCCGCGUGCGGGAUGACGGCCUUCGGGUUGUAAACCGCUUUCGCCUGUGACGAAGCGUGAGUGACGGUAAUGGGUAAAGAAGCACCGGCUAACUACGUG
rnacentral:rRNA from 1 species